AAGUGGCCUCUAAAAGUCUA
rnacentral:miRNA from 1 species